rnacentral:tRNA from 1 species
GGGGCUGUAACUCAGUGGUAGAGUGCUUGCCUAGCAUGCAGGAGUCCCCAGGUUCCAUUCCUAGCACCA